UUCAUCUCAUCAUUGCAU
rnacentral:snRNA from 1 species